UGGGGAAUUUUGGACAAUGGGCGAAAGCCUGAUCCAGCAAUGCCGCGUGUGUGAAGAAGGCCUUCGGGUUGUAAAGCACUUUUGUCCGGAAAGAAAUGGCUCUGGUUAAUACCUGGGGUCGAUGACGGUACCGGAAGAAUAAGGACCGGCUAACUACGUGCCAGCAGCCGCGGUAAUACGUAGGGUCCAAGCGUUAAUCGGAAUUACUGGGCGUAAAGCGUGCGCAGGCGGUUGUGCAAGACCGAUGUGAAAUCCCCGAGCUUAACUUGGGAAUUGCAUUGGUGACUGCACGGCUAGAGUGUGUCAGAGGGGGGUAGAAUUCCACGUGUAGCAGUGAAAUGCGUAGAGAUGUGGAGGAAUACCGAUGGCGAAGGCAGCCCCCUGGGAUAACACUGACGCUCAUGCACGAAAGCGUGGGGAGCAAACAGGAUUAGAUACCCUGGUAGUCCACGCCCUAAACGAUGUCAACUAGUUGUUGGGGAUUCAUUUCCUUAGUAACGUAGCUAACGCGUGAAGUUGACCGCCUGGGGAGUACGGUCGCAA
rnacentral:rRNA from 1 species